UAAUUCUCUAAUCUUGUCCACACCAGCACAUCUUUCUUCACCACAAAGCAGCAGUUUAAUAAGAGCUCUGAGUAUUUCAGCAGAGGUCACUAAGUUACUUUUAAAUACUGGCACAGAGAACGUACAGUUUCAUCUUCAGCAGGACCUCCCUUCCAGCAAGCUGCUGCUGUUCCCAGUGUUGGAGAAGGCCACAGGCUGUGUACCCAGCUCCACACUGAGAACAGAUAGCCUACCCCUGAGGUAUCAGCAUGAGGAGGAAUCACUUCUGUCCCCGCUGUGAGCAGCCACUUAGUGUCAGCCUCGGUACUACAUCCUCUGCAUGACAUGAUAGGGAUCAACAUACAUCCAG
ensembl:lncRNA